rnacentral:rRNA from 1 species
AUUGAACGCUGGCGGCAGGCCUAACACAUGCAAGUCGAACGAGUGGCGGACGGGUGAGUAAUGUCUGGGAAACUGCCUGAUGGCGGGGGAUAACUACUGGAAACGGUAUCUAAUACCGCAUACCAUCAGAUGUGCCCCGAUGGGAUUAGCUUGUUGGUGGGGUAACGGCUCACCAAGGCGACGAUCCCUAGCUGGUCUGACAGGAUGACCAGACACAAUGGAACGGAGACACGGUCCAGUCUCCGACGGGAGGCAGCAUUGGGGAAUAUUGAACAAUGGGCGCAAGCCUGAGGCAGCCAUGCCGCGUGUAUGAAGAAGGCCUUCGGGUUGUAAAGUACUUUCAGCGGGGAGGCGUUACCCGCAGAAGAAGCACCGGCUAACUCCGUGCCAGCAGCCGCGGUAAUUC